rnacentral:rRNA from 1 species
CAGUAGCCACGGUAAGACAGAGGAUGCAAGCGUUAUCCGGAAUGAUUGGGCGUAAAGCGUCUGUAGGUGGCUUUUCAAGUCCGCCGUCAAAUCCCAGGGCUCAACCCUGGACAGGCGGUGGAAACUACCAAGAUGGAGUACGGUAGGGGCAGAGGGAAUUUCCGGUGGAGCGAUGAAAUGCGUUGAGAUCGGAAAGAACACCAACGGUGAAAGCACUCUGCUGGGCCGACACUGACACUGAGAGACAAAAGUUAGGGGAGAAAAUGGGAUUAGAUACCCCCGUAGUCCCUGUCUCUUAUAA